GGACUGGUUAGCUCAGUCGGUUAGAGCAUGGUGCUGAUAACACCAAGGUUGCGGGUUCGAUCCCAGUUUAGUCCC
rnacentral:tRNA from 1 species